rnacentral:lncRNA from 12 species
CGGAGACCCUGGGUUUUGGGAGGCGAGGCCGGGGGCGGGGGCAGGGGAAGUUUGGAGCCGAGGGAGCGGCAGGAGCACGUGGGCUGAGGGGGUGGGAGGACGCAGACGGAGGAGUAACCGGUGGAAGUGUCAACGAGGAAGGGGUGGAGGGCUGGCGAGGUGACAGGGUGUGGUCUGUGGCGGAGCAGCCGCCCGGGAGCCCGGGGCGGGGGCAGGGGCAGGGCAGGGGCAGCGCCGGGACCGCGGCGGCCAGGAGCGCGGCGCGGGGCCGGGGCACUUUCCGCGCUCGCCCAAGUGGAGCUCGGCUCGGAGCCGCGCCAGCGCCUUCCGCCGGGGCCGCGGGGCCCGCCACCUGCCGAGUCCGGAGCGGGAGUCUUCGCCCCCAAAUUGUAGCUGUGUUCAAGAGGGCUGAGGUGACUGGAAGUUCAACCACCAGAUGA